GUAGUGCUUGCAUAUCGCCAGCUCCUCAUGGGGCUUCAGAAGCCGAGGGUCGUUCUGCGGGACCUUGAGGGGGAGCAGAGAGGAGUCUCCCUCAUGUGCUCCAGCUC